CUUGUUUAAACUCAAGAGACCACAUUUUUAGUCCAGUCUAAAUGAAAAUUGGCCAAAAUAUUUGUUUUUUUUUAGGUGAGCGACCUGGGGCCAUAUUGGCCCUCUUGUUUAUAUUGGAUAGUAGGACAGUAUAGUAUCAUUUCUUGUACGAAUAUUCCUCAAUAACUAAUGGCUAGAAUUCAUCAACUUCAUCUGUAUUGUUAAUGUUAUAUAAAUGGAAAGUAUUAAAACGUUUUUGUUCCUUUUCUAGCGUUUAAGUUCUAUUUCAUUGCAUAGGCCAAAACGUGUUAAUCUUUUAAAUCCAGCGUUUACGUUUUAUUCAAAAUCAAAAAGAAAAAGAAAAAGUAAUGUAUCUCGUUGAAUUUUGCUCUCUAACGUUUUCCCACAAUUUCGAAAAUUCUGCUAUUCCUUUCUUACAUUUCACUCAUUUCAGUCACGUCAUCAUUUUUGUUAGUUUUUACAUAAAACUUUUUAUUCAGUUGUUAGAUAAAGAAUCUGUUAAAUGCGACUAUUUGUAUGAUAUAUAACUUUGAAUUUGUGAAAAGCUCGGAGUCCGUAUUCAGUCAUGCUUUUCUCGACAAAUGACUUGCCACUCAACACGGUGCUUUUUGAACCUCGCUAAUGGGGUAUAGAAUGAAUGUAGCAAACUGUCUUAUUAAAGGUCGGCAAUGCUAUUCAGUGCUCGCGCAACCCUGAAAUAAAGCACGGAGAGGCACCUAGGAUCUUCCUACACUACCAAAACGUGGAAAGUCGUCUUAUGACGUCACCGUCAAGUUUUAUUUUCCGGUAUUUUAGUAUGAUUCUGAUUUUUCAACAAAUUUAUAUAAGAACACUUUCUGUGCGUUAGUCCAUUUCAAAAUGGAUUUCCAGUUUAUUUGUUAUCUGGUUAUCAGUGAAAAGUCUACAAAACGAGGUUAAUAUGCAAAUGUAAAUAAAAUAUACUGAUAAUAAUAAGCUCUGAUAAUGUGGCAGUUGAGUCCAAUAAGUCCGGGGGUGUUCAAAGAUAAUCAGUCACAAAUCUAUUGUAAAUUAUUGGAUUUACCUGUAUUGGAAAAUAAACAGUGUCGAUUGUAUUGAGGUCAACUGCCACAUUAUCAAGGUUUAUUAGUAACAGUUUCUAAUGAUUACAAUGUCUGUUUACAUUCGGGUAUAUGUCUGAAAUAGACAGGUCACUCGUUAUAGAUCCCGCACGAUAACACAAACGAUAACAUGUUUGAUAUUUUUGACUUUUCUUAAUUAAAACGUUUCUCAAUACAAAAAAAAAUAUGUUUGUAUAAAAUUACAGUAUGCACUUAACUUCUAUCACUGACAACCUUUCGAGUUCAACGAUGCAUGAGAACCAUAACAACCAAACAAUAAGAUAAACAUGCUGACGUUUAAAUUGUCGUGCGGGAGAGAUAUCUAUUCUAUACAUAUAUGUUGUUGGAGUAGUGCCAAUGGAUUUAUGAUCUGCAUUAGACACGCUAUUAUCGUCGAAUUGUGUUGAAACUGAGUAACAAUGAAGAAGUCGAAAUUCAAUAUCGAAGCACGGCUUUAUCAUACAAUUCUACAGUUAUAUCACUCUAUCGGUUGUUUCAAAAGUGCAAUGCAGGGUGCACAAAACACCAUUGGAGCUGAAUUAAGUGAUAUUAAAAAAGACAAAUGUAAAUCUGAGAAGUCCACGAAGCACACCGAAACGUUUGGCUGUGACUACCAUGCAUAUUGUGUAAAAAAUAACUUAACAGUGACAUCAAACAGUACAGAUGAACUGCUUAAUAUAAGUUUUGGAUAUUCAUCAGAGACGGCAAAUGAAAUUCUACCUAACAGUCAGUUUAUUGCAUCUGCUACAUCUUCAAAAAACAGUGAUUCAGUUGUUGCGAAAAUAAUGGCGGAAGCCAAAAAUCUUCUAAAAGUGUUCGACAAAUUGAAGAAAAAGGUAUAUGGUACUGGCAAAGAUAAGCUAGAUCAUUUGCCUUUUAAUCAGCUGUUAAAGUUAGGCAGGAGAAAAAAAGAGCUACUGGCAGAAUUAAAUACUACAAAUCCCCAGUCAUUUACCGAACAGCAAAAAGAAACUUUGUCAAAAGGUUUGAUUAAGAGUCUUUCAAGUAAUAAUCAAUAUCAAUUUGACGGGAAUAGUAACAGAUUUGUUAGCUUUUGCAGCAACUUGAAGGACAUGAAUUCAGAUGAAUCGGUAAAUACGUUAUUGCUGGUAUGUGGCAUCAUUCUAAAGUCAUAUGCAGUUAUAAUUAAGCAGUAUUUAGUGGAUGAAAACACAAAGUCUAAGAAAAAUAAAUACAGUUUACGUAUAUCUGUUGUAACUUCUGGAAUGUUUGAGGAAGCAAUGCGAAGCAGUCAAAUGCAAACGAUUGAGUUAACUUACACAAAUGUUUUUCCAAGUGAUUGUCGCAUGUUUAUUGGAGUACCAAUAUACAAAGAUGGCUAUCUCAACAGAAAGGACUGUGAACGCAGAUAAUGUACCGCUUGACCUAGACUGAAAUAUAUUCUGCGCUUCAUGUAUUGCAAACAACUCAAGAAGUGGCGUUCGGACUGAUAUUUGUUCUAGACAUUGACAGCGACGCUUAAAAUUAGCAAGACAAAAAACUGUAUGAUCUUGCACAUGAAGCGAAUGAACGGAACGUGUUGUAAGUACUUUUAGAUGCAGUGAUAAAUUACACAUUAAACGAAAUUUACUUCGGGCAAGGGAAAAAUAUUAGAAUCGUUAAUUUGAUUUGUCAUAAAUUUGACCUAUAUGUUUUAUUGUUUAUCUGUAGUGAAUUUACAUUUAUUCUCCUUUCAUCAAGCAUGGUGGAGGUUAUCUGUUUAUUUUGAAACCCUGUAUAUUUAACUUCAAGUGACUCGUUGUUGCGAAGUAUGAGUAAUAGUAUAAAGUAAUUGCCAACAUUUUGUGUUCUUAGCAUUGCGAUAACUGAAUAAAUGACGUUUGCACAGUAAAGACGUCUAGACUAUAGCUUUGUGCGAUUAAGAUUUUAUGUGACACGAAAGUAAGUUUGACGUAACCGACAUGAUCGUGCAUUAAGUCAGGAUACUAAAAAAAUGGGAAGCUGGGCCACAGUAUUCAGAAUAUUCAAACGGAGGAUGAAUUAGUGAUCAUAGACAAAAGGGUAUCUUAAUAUGCACAAGGAUUUUCUCAAGAAGUGGCGAAAAAAUGAAGAUUUAUAAAUUUCCUUCGCUAAUAUGACGCUCCGAGUGUCUUCAUAGAAGACAAAUAUCUUUUACUCGUCUCCCUCUAGCAAUAUGAUGAUGUUGAAUGGCAAAUAUUCAAGUGGACCAAGUAUUUCUUCAUUUGAAAAUAAUAACUACUUCGGUGGUGGGAUUUUCGAUUUAUAUUUGAUUUAUAUUUUUCUGAUUAUUUGUUCCAAAGUGCAUAUUAUAUAUUCUAUAUUUACUUGCAAUAUAAUUGCAUAGGGUAAGGUAUGAGGAAGUUAGCAUUUAAAUUUGUGUUGAAUUAUUUUCUGUCGUGGUACCUGAUUUUUUAAAUACUUGUAUUGUAACUUAUAUUGCUAAAAGUACAGAAAUCGAUAUGAUAUGUACGUACAUGGCUACCAGUCACUACUUUUUACAUUGUUUUUAUGCAUAAUGGAACUUCAUGAACGUUGCACACAUGUUAAACGAUACAUCAUUGGCGUAGCAGCAGUCUGAGAUAUUGGGGUGGGGGCAAUGGGGGACCUAACAGCUAUACGGACCUACAUUUUCUCUGAUAAGGAUUUGGACAACCACAAAAAGUCGUUUUAUCCGUAUAAACAACAGACAUCGCAUCAAAUCAAAAUAUAUAGUUGCUCUUAUCCUUUAUACAUAAUAACAUUUCUGAGGCAAAUAAGUUCUUUUGAAUCAAAGGUCAAGGGGCCAGUGCAUAUGCUGGGCACCCACUCUCAAAGCCCGCACCCUUACUACGGCGCCUAAGUACUAGAAUAUAUAUUGGUUUGAUUCUAGGCGAUUUUGUUUAUUGGUUUAAACAAUAUUUUAUUCAGUAUAAUUACAGUUGUCACAAUAAUACAUAUAGCAACAUUAAGGAUUGAGUAGGAAGCUAUAUUAGCUUUUUUAAAAACUCUCUUGUUUAUUGUUUGGCUUAACGUCGCACCGACAUUAUUAUAGAACAAAUGGUGACUUUCCAGCAUUGAUGGUGGUGGAAGACCCUAGGUGUCCCUUCAUGCAUUAUUUCCUCGUGGGUGAAUAGAAACACCAUCCUUACGAUAACCAGCUUGAUGGCUUCCUCACAUAAAGAAUGUAACGCCCCGAGUGAGGCACGAGCCCAUAGAAGUAAGAAGCAAGUACUUCUACAUCAGUGAUCUUAACCAUUCGGCCACCGUGUCCGCUUUUGGGUGAUUUUGAUCGAUAAAGACUGUUUUCCUACACCCUUGUCAGGUGUUCUUGAUUUUUGUUGUUUUGUUAUCAGCUUAUUGUUAAGACAAUUUUUUAUAUUCCUAAAGGAUUCUUGAGGCACUAUAUUUUCUUGUCAUA
rnacentral:misc_RNA from 1 species